rnacentral:rRNA from 1 species
UACGGAGGGAGCUAGCGUUGUUCGGAAUUACUGGGCGUAAAGCGCACGUAGGCGGCUUUGUAAGUUAGAGGUGAAAGCCUGGAGCUCAACUCCAGAACUGCCUUUAAGACUGCAUCGCUUGAAUCCAGGAGAGGUGAGUGGAAUUCCGAGUGUAGAGGUGAAAUUCGUAGAUAUUCGGAAGAACACCAGUGGCGAAGGCGGCUC